rnacentral:pre_miRNA from 1 species
UGCUGAUGAUCAUUGUGACGCUGGUGAAGAUGAUGAUGAUGGUGUUGAGCCCUGUAGCGAUGCCAUCAUCAUCAUCCUCACCAGCGUCGCAAUGAUCAUCA